rnacentral:rRNA from 1 species
GGAGGAAAGUAGGGGAUCGAAAGACCUUACGCUUUUGGAGCGGCCGAUGUCUGAUUAGCUAGUUGGUGGGGUAAGGGCCUACCAAGGCGACGAUCAGUACUUGGUCUGAGAGGACGACCAGCCACACUGGGACUGAUACACGGCCCAAACUCCUACGGUAGGCAGCAGGGGGGAAUUUUGGACAAUGGGCGCAAGCCUGAUCCAGCAAUGCCGCGUGAGUGAAGAAGGCCUUCGGGUUGUAAAGCUCUUUCAGUCGAGAAGAAAAGGCUGCAGUGAAUAACUGUAGUUUAUGACGGUAUCGACAGAAGAAGCACCGGCUAACUACGUGCCAGCAGCCGCGGUAAUACGUAGGGUGCGAGCGUUAAUCGGAAUUACUGGGCGUAAAGGGUGCGCAGGCGGUUUUGUAAGUCAGAUGUGAAAUCCCCGGGCUUAACCUGGGAAUUGCGUUUGAAACUACAAAGCUAG